rnacentral:rRNA from 1 species
GACAAACGCUGGCGGCGUGCCUAAUACAUGCAAGUUGAGCGAUGAAGAUUGGUGCUUGCACCAAUUUGAAGAGCAGCGAACGGGUGAGUAACGCGUGGGGAAUCUGCCUUUGAGCGGGGGACAACAUUUGGAAACGAAUGCUAAUACCGCAUAACAACUUUAAACAUAAGUUUUAAGUUUGAAGGAUGCAAUUGCAUCACUCAAAGAUGAUCCCGCGUUGUAUUAGCUAGUUGGUGAGGUAAAGGCUCACCAAGGCGAUGAUACAUAGCCGACCUGAGAGGGUGAUCGGCCACAUUGGGACUGAGACACGGCCCAAACUCCUACGGGAGGCAGCAGUAGGGAAUCUUCGGCAAUGGACGAAAGUCUGACCGAGCAACGCCGCGUGAGUGAAGAAGGUUUUCGGAUCGUAAAACUCUGUUGGUAGAGAAGAACGUUGGUGAGAGUGGAAAGCUCAUCAAGUGACGGUAACUACCCAGAAAGGGACGGCUAACUACGUG